rnacentral:rRNA from 1 species
GACGAACGCUGGCGGCGUGCUUAACACAUGCAAGUCGAACGGAAAGGCCCUGCUUUUGUUGGGUGCUCGAGUGGCGAACGGGUGAGUAACACGUGAGUAACCUGCCCUUGACUUUGGGAUAACUUCAGGAAACUGGUGCUAAUACCGGAUAGGAGCUCCUGCUGCAUGGUGGGGGUUGGAAAGUUUCGGCGGUUGGGGAUGGACUCGCGGCUUAUCAGCUUGUUGGUGGGGUAGUGGCUUACCAAGGCUUUGACGGGUAGCCGGCCUGAGAGGGUGACCGGCCACAUGGGGACUGAGAUACGGCCCAGACUCCUACGGGAGGCAGCAGUGGGGAAUAUUGCACAAUGGGCGGAAGCCUGAUGAAGCAACGCCGCGUGCGGGAUGACGGCCUUCGGGUUGUAAACCGCUUUCGCCUGUGACGAAGCGUGAGUGACGGUAAUGGGUAAAGAAGCACCGGCUAACUACGUG